rnacentral:lncRNA from 1 species
CCUGUCCAUAUGUGGGGAGAAAUGGCAAAUGCCUCUCCGGGUGACAGCGUCCAGAAACAAGCAGCCUCUCACCCGGUGAGUGUGACAGAAACCUCACCCACAGCCAUGGCUGACAUCUGAGAGGUUUUCCGGGCAGCCUCCUUGAAGAGGUGAAGAUGGGCUCUGAAACAUUGGUAUGAAGGAGGUGAGAAGAGGGGAAAGACCAGUACUGGGGAAAGAGCUUUGAGAACUGAAGGCAGAAGCAGCUUGAAAACUGGAUGUAGCAAAGAUUUUUCCACACUGGGAGGACAGAUAAGCAACUGUGUGCCAGGCAUUGGGUAAUCACUUCCACACUGGAUAUUUCACCUACUCCCUUCCAGCCACCCUAUGAAGGAGCUGCCAACACAUGAGGAAACUGAGGGAGGGUAAGCCUUUUGCCCAAGAUCACACAUCUAGGACGAGGCUCUUUUGAUGGUUCCAUGGAAACCCAUCCAACUUUUUUCAACUAAAGUCCGUGAGUUUGGUGGUCCAGACAACGUUUUCUGAGAACACAAAGUGGAGCUGGACGGGCACUCUGUGAAGCCCCUGCCUUCACUAAAGGAGGCAGCCCUCAGGGAGCCGAGAGGCCAAACUCACUUGUGCCACCACCCCGUUCAGGCUGGGAGCAGGUCUGGACAUCAGACGGCCCUGAUUUCAAGGCUCAGCUCCCCCACUUCCUGGACCUGAGACCACAGGAAAGUUACCUGCUCUCUCUGAGACUCCACUGCCACCUCGAUAAAACAAGGAUAACAAUAUAUAUAAGUUGAAUUAUAUGAAAUUGCCAACUUUCAACCAUUUUUGACCUCCGAAAAAGCAUUUCCAAAUAGUCCAACCUAAAGUCUUCACUGAGUCACUGUACAGAUUCAACAAGUGUACACAGGAAACAAUAAAAGGCACUUUUUAGGAGACUUUCUCUUCCAGACUUCAUUUCGCUAAGGUCAGUAAAGUUAGUUUGCAUUCUCUGCGCACACUUCGCACGCAGCGAAGCCAGCCUGAGGUUAUAUAAGUGUUGGAGAUGACAAUUCAGGGAGACAAUAAGACUAUGUGGAUAAUCAAGAAUCAACAACAAAGGAUCUCCUGAGGCCUUACUGCUCCUGUAUUUUCCCC